rnacentral:rRNA from 1 species
AUUGAACGCUGGCGGCAGGCCUAACACAUGCAAGUCGAGCGAGCGGCGGACGGGUGAGUAAUGUAUGGGGACUGCCCGAUAGAGGGGGAUAACUACUGGAAACGGUAGCUAAUACCGCAUACUAUCGGAUAACCCAUAUGGGAUUAGCUAGUAGGUGAGGUAAUGGCUCACCUAGGCGACGAUCCCUAGCUGGUCUGAGAGGAUGAUCAGCCACACUGGAACUGAGACACGGCCCAGACUCCUACGGAGGCAGCAGUAGGGAAUAUUGCGCAAGGGGCGAAAGCCUGAUGGAGCAAUGCGGCGUGAAUGAAGAAGGCCUUCGGGUUGUAAAGUACUUGCAUUCGGGAAGCGUUACCGAAAGAAGAAGCCCCGGCUAACUCCGUGCCAGCAGCCGCGGUAAUAC